rnacentral:rRNA from 1 species
CCAGACUCCUACGGGGGGCAGCAGUGGGGAAUAUUGCACAAUGGGGGAAACCCUGAUGCAGCGACGCCGCGUGAAGGACGAAGUAUUUCGGUACGUAAACUUCUAUCAGCAGGGAAGAAAAUGACGGUACCUGACCAAGAAGCCCCGGCUAACUACGUGCCAGCAGCCGCGGUAAUACGUAGGGGGCAAGCGUUAUCCGGAUUUACUGGGUGUAAAGGGAGCGUAGACGGCCAUGCAAGUCUGAUGUGAAAGCCCGGGGCUCAACCCCGGGACUGCAUUGGAAACUGUGCGGCUGGAGUGUCGGAGAGGCAAGUGGAAUUCCUAGUGUAGCGGUGAAAUGCGUAGAUAUUAGGAGGAACACCAGUGGCGAAGGCGGCUUGCUGGACGACGACUGACGUUGAGGCUCGAAAGCGCGGGGAGCAAACAGGAUUAGAUACCCGCGUAC